AAAAAUAUAAAUGUUAAAAAUGAGAAAAAUACAAGCAAUCAUGUCCAAAAGAAUAGGAAUCUAACGGUGUUUGAAUGGUUUUUCUAAGUUGAAUGGUUUUGAAGGAGUAGGCUUUCAAAAAACGUACGGAAUAGAUAAUAAUAACUAGAAAGUGCAUUUUCUGAAGAAACUGCAGUGUGAAUGCUUGAAUCUGAAUGUAUGCAUUGAAAUGAAAUAAUUACUGAAUUUAAGUUAAAAAUUUUGAAUGAGAUAAAAAAAAAACAACCCGAAUUUAACCUGAAAACAAAAGUGCUGAACUGCUAAAAGCUGAAGGUUACACAGAAGAAGAAGUUGGAAAAAAGCUGAAAAUGUUUUAAUUGUAAAUUAGAAAAACCUAAGAAACGAGAAAAGAACAUUUAGAGUCAGAAAACAUCUGAAAGAAUAUUAAAAGGUCAUAUUCUUUGAAUCACUGAAUGACUCAAAUGUGAUCCCUCCACUUUGAUCCACACAGUUUAAAAAGUUUAAAUGCCUGAGCUUUGAAAGAUACGGUGUUGGAAAGAGAACAAUAAUGGCGACAAUUUGAGGGUAAAAUGAUGGCUGUAACACUGUGGACACAGCAGCAGUUGAAAGAGAAGUGCUUAAGAUGAAUCUUGGCAGAGUGAGAGAGAGAGCUCGUUAAGCAGGCAGGUGUGAGCCUGGUUGCUAUAGUGACCGCACCCAAUGGCUCCAUACACACGUACACAGACAUGCGCCUCACUUUUGCUGCUUAAAAUGAACAGAAAAGUCAGGCCGAAACAAAUCGUUCCCAAAUGAAAAGUAAAAGUCGUAUUGACAAAAUUCUUUCACCGUGAGCGACAGCAGCUUCUAGUCUACCUAAUUCUCAGUUUUCAUGUCUGUGGAGUUUAUUAUAUGGACGUGGUGACAGUGGAAAGACCCAAUGCUCUUCUGAUUUUCAAACGAACCUUCUGAGCCAUUUUAACAUUAGAGUCUAUGGAAGAGUUGGAGGGAGGAGGCUGUGCAUUGGUGACAUUUACGAAAGAACCAUAACACCUAGGACAAUAGUAAACACAUUGGAUGAAAGAGGACAGCGAUGGCUACGUUUUGAGGGUAAAAUCAUACCUGUAGAGCAAACGCUGCGGACACAGCAGCAGUUUUAAAAAAGAUUUUAAGAUUAAUUUUUUUGCUCCUCUCACUCUAGCAGUUGAGCUGCCUCACUCUAGCCCCAACAUUCCGUC
ensembl:lncRNA